UUCAACGGCGGGCGGUUCGGCGCGCUGGCGCGCUGACGGCGCGCGGCGGGUGCACUGCGCCCGCCGCGCCGAUCGUUCGCGCCGCGCUCAGC
rnacentral:tRNA from 1 species